GGGAUAACAAAACCCCAAGAUUAGUGAUUUGCUGCUCCUUGUUCUUAUAAGUGAGCCAUAUGAUACUCACCUGCAAUGUGUCCUGACCAUUGCCUAUUAUUUGGCUGUCUGAAAGGAGAUGUACAAGGUUUAUUUCCAUUGAAUAGCAAACACUGCUCUGUGGGCAUUGAAGUCAAGAAGAUGGCUAAUUCUAGCAGAAGAGCCCAGGUCCAGCUGGAGCCAGGGGGAAAGAACGGGGUAUCUUACUGUCUGUGGGAGUAUGAGGCACAACAGGACCCUGACAUCAGCUGGGGUUUCUAGCUCCUAUUGCAAUACAACCCUUUUCAGUUUUCAUUUUAAAAGGUGCUGGUUUUUCAGUUCAAGUGAUCAUGAGAAUAAUUUCCCAACCAUUGCAGAGAACAGAAGACCUUCCUGUACAGUUCCCAGAGUCUUGGUACUGACCUUGCUUUUUUUUUUCAUGUCAGCCAAGAAACAACCCAUCCCUGUUACCACACAAGGGCACUUGUUUAAUGUUGAUGGAGAAGGAAAUGUACCACCUACUGAGUCACCAAUGCCACAUCCUAAACACCUGGCUUUUGCCUUGCUGGGCUUCCAUUUAAUUAUGAAUCUAGCAUGAGAAGAGCUGUCGAAAAUGUCUAUAAUAAAACCUCAAACCACACAACACCUUCCUGGGUGGGACGUACAUUAUGAUCUCCUAAAGUUCAGCAACCUCCAGAAGAAAAUUGUAAACCCUUCCAAAGCAGACCUGAGUUAUCCAUUUUGGUUUUGUUCAGUUUCAGGGACAAGAACUGCAUGUCACAACCCAAAGCAAGGCAUUACUUUCUUUGAAGUCAAAAAUAAAAUCACAGCUAAAAAAAAAUGUUUAAAGCAGCCGUACAAAUUAUGGUCAAAUCUGCUGUGGCUUAAGAUGCCACCCUUUUACUGUCACUACCUUUGUGAGAGUUGAUCCAAAUUCAUCUUAUUCUCACAAGACUUCCAUGGAAAAAUAAAAUAAAGGCAGAUUUUUUAAAGCCAAAUUAAAAGCAUUUCUUACAAGUGAAAUUCCUGUCUGCUAGACAACAAAUCAUUUGCUGUCCACAGUAUAUCCCAUAGUUGACAAACAAAGCAGUAUUUUACCACCCUAUUGCAAAACACAGUACAAUAUGUUUUGGGAAAUGAUUGUUCAUUAAAAAAAAACAUCAUCUAGAGCAAUACAAUGCAACAGGAGUCACAUGAGUGUGCUACAUCCUGUGACUGGCUCUGAAGUAAGUGUGGAAACAGUCACAAAGCAUUUCUGGGCAGGAGGCAAAACACUUUUCUACAGGACAUCAGCUCACAGACAGGCUCACUCACCUUCGGUUUGUCCCGACUCACCCCGCGAUCCCUUUAACCCCACACCGAGAUGCUCAGCCUCCUGGCAGCUCUCCCACAAGCAGGAUGGCCCAGCUAGCAUCCUUCAAAGACACUUUCUGCAGUGAGUGGCUUCCACAAAAAAAAUAAAAAAAAUAAAAAAAAUUUUGUCUACCUAAAGCUUCUCUUCCUUUCAUAUGUGCUACCUGAAGAUAGUCCUGUGCUCAAGCUCACAGCCCCAAACCAUAAAUGUGAGAUUUGAGGGGAGGAAGAAGUAAGGCUAGGGAAGAGAGUAAUGACAUAGAGUGCCACUUCUGCAACUCACAUUCUUUCUAAGUGUGAAUUUCCUUGCCUCUUUUGAACUAAUACUAGC